rnacentral:rRNA from 1 species
CACGUAGGGUGCGAGCGUUGUCCGGAAUUAUUGGGCGUAAAGAGCUCGUAGGCGGUGUGUCGCGUCGGCCGUGAAAACCUGUGGCUUAACUAUGGGCUUGCGGUCGAUACGGGCAUCACUGGAGUUCGGCAGGGGAGACUGGAAUUCCUGGUGUAGCGGUGAAAUGCGCAGAUAUCAGGAGGAACACCGGUGGCGAAGGCGGGUCUCUGGACG